rnacentral:tRNA from 1 species
GCCCUGGUGGUGGAAUCGGUAGACACAAGGGAUUUAAAAUCCCUCGGCGUUCGCGCUGUGCCGGUUCAAGUCCGGCCCGGGGCACCA